AUUGAACGCUGGCGGCAGGCUUAACACAUGCAAGUCGAGCGGAGAUGAGGUGCUUGCACCUUAUCUUAGCGGCGGACGGGUGAGUAAUGCUUAGGAAUCUGCCUAUUAGUGGGGGACAACAUUCCGAAAGGAAUGCUAAUACCGCAUACGCCCUACGGGGGAAAGCAGGGGAUCUUCGGACCUUGCGCUAAUAGAUGAGCCUAAGUCGGAUUAGCUAGUUGGUGGGGUAAAGGCCUACCAAGGCGACGAUCUGUAGCGGGUCUGAGAGGAUGAUCCACCACACUGGGACUGAGACACGGCCCAGACUCCUACGGGAGGCAGCAGUGGGGAAUAUUGGACAAUGGGCGGAAGCCUGAUCCAGCCAUGCCGCGUGUGCGAAGAAGGCCUUUUGGUUGUAAAGCACUUUAAGCGAGGAGGAGGCUACCUGGAUUAAUACUCUAGGAUAGUGGACGCUACUCGCAGAAUAAGCACCGGCUAACUCUGUGCCAGCCGCCGCAGUAACAC
rnacentral:rRNA from 1 species